GACGAACGCUGGCGGCGUGCCUAAUACAUGCGAGUAGAACGCUGAAGGAGGAGCUUGCUCUUCUGGAUGAGUUGCGAACGGGUGAGUAACGCGUAGGUAACCUGCCUGGUAGCGGGGGAUAACUAUUGGAAAAGAUAGCUAAUACCGCAUAAGAGUAGAUGUUGCAUGACAUUUACUUAAAAGGUGCAAUUGCAUCACUACCAGAUGGACCUGCGUUGUAUUAGCUAGUUGGUGGGGUAACGGCUUACCAAGGCGACGAUACAUAGCCGACCGGAGAGGGGGAACGGCAACAAUGGAAAUGAGACACGGUCGAGACUACGACGGGAGGCAGCAGUAGGGAAGCUUCAGAAAUGGGCGAAAGCCUGACGGAGAAACGCCGAGGGAGUGAUGAAGGGCGUCGGAUCGUAAAACUCUGUUAUUAGGGAAGAACAAAUGUGUAAGUAAAUAUGCACGUAUUGACGGUACCUAAUCAGAAAGCAACGGCGAACUACGUG
rnacentral:rRNA from 1 species